rnacentral:rRNA from 1 species
UACGGGGGGAGCAAGCGUUGUUCGGAUUUACUGGGCGUAAAGGGCGCGUAGGCGGCGUGACAAGUCACUUGUGAAAUCUCCGGGCUUAACUCGGAACGGUCAAGUGAUACUGUCGUGCUAGAGUACAGAAGGGGCAACUGGAAUUCUCGGUGUAGCGGUGAAAUGCGUAGAUAUCGGGAGGAACACCAGAGGCGAAGGCGGCGAACUGGACAGUAACUGACACUCAACUGCGAAAGCGUGGGGAGCAAACAGG